rnacentral:Y_RNA from 1 species
GGCUGGUCCGAUGGUAGUGGAUUAUCAGAACUUAUUAACAUUAAUGUCACUAAAGUUGGUAUUCAACCCCCCACUGCUAAAUUUGACUGGCUUAAA